rnacentral:rRNA from 1 species
UACGGGGGGAGCAAGCGUUGUUCGGAUUUACUGGGCGUAAAGGGCGGGUAGGCGGCCACUGCAAGUCGGUUGUGAAAUCUCCGGGCUUAACCCGGAAAGGUCAAUCGAUACUGCAGGGCUAGAGUGCAGAAGGGGCAACUGGAAUUCUCGGUGUAGCGGUGAAAUGCGUAGAUAUCAAGAGGAACACCUGAGGUGAAGACGGGUUGCUGGGCUGACACUGACGCUGAGGCGCGAAAGCUAGGGGAGCAAACGGG